UACGUAGGGUGCAAGCGUUGUCCGGAAUUAUUGGGCGUAAAGAGCUCGUAGGCGGUCUGUCGCGUCGGCUGUGAAAUCCCGAGGCUCAACCUCGGGUCUGCAGUCGAUACGAGCAAACUAGAGUGUUGCAGGGGAGACUGGAAUUCCUGGUGUAGCGGUGAAAUGCGCAGAUAUCAGGAGGAACACCGGUGGCGAAGGCGGGUCUCUGGGCAACAACUGACGCUGAGGAGCGAAAGCGUGGGGAGCGAACAGG
rnacentral:rRNA from 1 species